rnacentral:rRNA from 1 species
AUUGAACGCUGGCGGCAGGCCUAACACAUGCAAGUCGAACGAGUGGCGGACGUGUGAGUAAUGUCUGGGAAUCUGCCUGAUGGAGGGCGAUAACUACCGGAAACUGGUGCUACUACCGUAUUCCAGCAGAUCUGCCUAGAUGGGACUAGCUUGUUGGUGGGGUAACGUCUCACCACGGCGACGAUCCCUAGCUGGUCUGUGAGGAGUACCAGCCACAAGGGAACUGAGAGACGGUCCAGACUCAUACGGGAGGCAGCAGUGGGGAAUAUUGCACAAUGGGCGCAAGCCUGAUGCAGCCAUGCCGUGUGUAUGAAGAAGGCCUUCGGGUUGUAAAGUACUUUCAGCGGGGAGGCGUUACCAGCAGAAGAAUCACCGGCUAACUCCGUGCCAGCAGCCGCGGUAAUAC